CUUCCUGGAAGAGUCACAAGGUUUUGGCAUCUGUCCAGAUUCAAAAGUUCAAGCCUAUUCAAAUGUUCGAUUGAUGAUGGUAGCUCUUUUAUAGCCGUUCCGUUCAAGUGAAGCUCCCUUAAGUUUUCCAUAUUCUCCAAGAUUUCUGGAAAGUACUGUAAUUGUGAACAGUCAGAGCCAAAGAGAGAUUUUAGGGAUUUGAACUCCCGAAUGCUUGUUGGCAGACUCUCAAGGUUUUUGCACUCUCGCAAACAUAAGGUAUCAAAUUCAGAGGCAUGCUCAAUGGGUAGUAGGUUGAUUGUCUGACCCUUUAAACAAAGCUUUCGGUGUUCCACGUUCCUCUGACAUUCCACGCAGCUAGCAUCCACAUCCUCAGUCUGUACUAUUGGAUCUUGGGAGUAUAUAGGUUGAAGCCCACACUUGAGCACCUUAAAAUGAUUGCGAGAGCCCAUAAAUAGAGCCCCAAGAAACAUGGAUGGAUUGGUGUGACAGCUCUCCAGAAUAGCAGCCUUGGGAUAGAAUAUCACCCACAUUUGUUCUGAUGCACCUCCAUCAUGGUAGCAUUUACAAGUAGUGCGAAAACUGAGAGGUUGCACACACAGGGGAGAAAAUCCAUAUCCAUCAUGCAAUGACAAUUGACAUUCUAACUCAGUGGAGAUUGAAGAUUCAGCUUCAAAUAAAUCGUCAGAUUCAUUCAGGGCUUCGUCACCAGAUUCAUUCUCCGAAAAUGUAUGUGCAAAAUCAUUUUCUGGUAUGUCCUCACAUUCAUCGAGUGGAGCAUAAACACAGCAUAUAGCAAUUCCCAAGAAGUCAUUAUUUUCAUAACAACUCUGAGGAAGGUCCAUUGUGAUCUGAUAUCCCUCUCUCUGUUUCCUUAUCCACUUGGGAAUUCCACUGCUUCCCGGAACAACAAUACAGAUUCCAUGGCCAAUGAAGUCAGAAUCAGGGAGAAAUACUUCAUUUGAACUGCUCUUGUAUUUCAAAUCCUGUACAAAGGGACAAUGUAAAUCCAGUGGGUCUGUGCCAUUAUGUGAGUUUUUAUGAGAGAGUUUGUUAUCGGUUUUUGAUAAAUUGAUUCCCAGUUUUAACUUUCUUUGAUCUAUGCUCCUGAAUCUACUUAAUAUCCCUUUUAGAUGACGGAUAAUCAAUCAACAUGAAAGUGAGUGACAAGAUUAAGUGUGAAAACUGGAAGUGAGGGGAAACUGAAACUGAAAGUGAGUAGAAUAAGCAGAUCUGUUCUUCACUUGCAGUAGCUUCUUCUCCAUUCAGAUUCAGAGAUCUUAGAAUUGUAGCUUCAACUUAACUCUCAGAAUCUUAAAGACAAAGUUCGCUCAAGUUUCAAAAACUCACAGAAAAGUUUCUCCUCAUGUUUCUUUUAAUCCCAUGAGGCGACAGACAUGUAGCACACACUUACUGGCUUUUUGCCAUGCAAGUUUCAAGGUGGAGUGUCCAAUGAACUAAAACAUUCCCUCAAAUCCUAGUGGAAAUUCACACUAUAAAUUUCAGAAUUUGCUAAAGAAAAGUUUAAUUAAUUUUACCCAUGACUAAAAAGGCAUGUGAGGGCAUUUUAACAGCCUAUUAAUUAUUAUAUUAAACUACUAUUCUCAUUACUCAAACUCAUGAUCCUUCACAUCAUCACCACAUUUUGAAGAGACUUUCGUCAACUCUUCUAUGAAUGAAUUGAUGUUUAAGGAGGCAUAAUAAACUUUUAAUUGAAUUUAACAUUAUUUCUAUCCUUAUACUCAUCUUAAAUUAUUAUUUUUUUAUAUUCUUAUCAAAAUAAAUAAAAACUUAACAAAAAAAAUAAAGAUUUCAAAACAAACUUUAUUAGCAACACUUAUUUACAUCAUUCUUUAAAAAAAUAUUCAAAAACAAAUUUUUUUACAAUUAAAAAAAUGUGAUUUAAAAUUUAUAAAGAACAAAAUUUUUAGAAAAAUAUGGUAGUUGUUUGAAAUAAAAUAAAAGGGAAAUCAAAAUUCUUAGUAAAUGAAUAGUCAAAAAAACUGUAACAGAUAUGCAAAUGAGAAAAAAAAUAAUCAAUGUCAAGAAUGAGAAACAAUUUUUUCUUUUUUCUUUUCUUAUUUUAUGCAUUCAUUACCAUUUUUAAAUUAAUAAAUAAAGUUUUUCUCACAAAAUUUUAAAAUGGCAUGUAUGCUUCAAAAUUUAUAUAUUGUUAUUAGAUUUUUAUAAAUUUCAUUUAUAUCCUCAAAAUUAGAAUCAUUAAACUCACAUUUUAAAAUAAGAUAUCAAAUAGUUAUUUUUUCAUCCUUUAGCAAUAUCAAACGUUUUUUGUACUUUAAUAAAAAAAAAAAAAGCUAUUUUUUCUAAUUAAUGACUAUUUUGCAUAAUAUUUGUAUAAAUUAUUUAAUAUAUAAAUAUUACUUAUUUAAUAGUUUUUUUUUAAUUUCUUAUAGAAAGAGUAGUGCAUACAUAAUUCAAACAAAAGGUAAUUUUAUAUUGCAAAAAAGUUUGUGGAAAAAGGAAAUUUGAACAAGGAUUGAAAUUUAUAGAACCAUAUUGGACACCUAGUUCUAGGUUUGUCCCUUUCCAACAAUCAUGACUUGGUAGUAGCCUAAUCUCAAAUCUAACUUUGUCAGGCCCUUCCUUUACUAAGUCGAUCAAACAAGUUGUUAACAAACAGAAUAAGAUAUUUUUUCUUUUCACCUUGUUGAGUCUUCGAUAAUCUAUACACAUUCAGAGGGAUCCAUUAUGUUUCUUUUAGAAUAAUAUUGAUGUGGCAUAUGAAGCUUUAGUUGGUUGGAUGUAUCCCAUGUUAUGCAACUUCUUAAGUUGUUUCCUUUGUUCUUCUAAAUUAGGUAGUAUCAUCCUAUGGGACCUCCAUGGCAAGGGGCUUAGCUCCUGGCUCUAAGUCAAUCUUGUGCUCCCCUUCCCUUAUUUGUGUGAGUUUCUUAUGUAAUUUUAAUGACAUCUAAGGAUGGCAAAGUUUGAUACAAUUUUUCAACCAAACUUGAAGAAGCGUUAUUAGUGGGUUUGGAAAGUUCUAAUCUAUUUUACUUUUUAAAACAAAGUAAAAUAGAGAACAAUUUUUAAAGAACAAUUAGGAGUUGUUUUUACCAAUUUUUAAAAAACAAAAAAUAUAUAAACUCAUUUGACUAUAUUCUUUUAAACUUGUUUUUAAAUUAAAGAAUAAAAAAUAAUUUUUUAAAAUAAGUUUCAAAAAAUAUGACCAAGUCGGGGUUUAUAAUAUUAAAGAGGAAAAAAGUUAAUUUAAGAUUUUGCAUGCAGGUAAACAUCAGGCUGUAAAACUGGUUUACUAAGACACUCAUUUUAUUUAUAUAUUCUUCUAUGUGCAUGCAUUGACCAUGUGGUUAAGAUGUGUUGCACCGAAAUCUAAUGAUUAGCUGUAAAACGUUAAUUAAUCCGAGCAUACAUUUUUCUUUAUUUGUUUUGGUUUCUUUACAAGAAUGCUUCUUUAUGUAUUCUUGUUGAACCUAUAAAAUAUCAUCCAUAGACAUUCUUUUUGAAUAAUUAAGAACCGAGAUUUCUAAUUGGUUGGUUAUUAUUUUUAUCUGUAAGGAAUCGAAAUUUAGCUCAUCAUUUAUCGUAUGAAUAUCAUAUAGAUUUGAAAAGAAUUUCACACUUAGAAAUGUACCUCUCAGAACAUUUGAAGUUAAGAUGUUUUUGUCUUCUUCAAUUUGAUUGCUCAUUACGACUUUGAGAUUCAAAUUCCUUUUGAUGUAAAAAACAAACUUAAAUAAAUAAAAAGAAUUAAAAGAUAAGCAGAGCAAAAAAUUAAAUAGUGUGAGUUGGAAUGAAUAAAGUUUUAAUCAAAAUUGGAAAUUAAGGUGAAACAUCCUAAAUUAUAUACAAAAGCUCAUAUAAUAUUACACCAUAAUUUCUCUAAAUUAAUCUUAACCUUUUAGUGCAGUGUGUACAGUCAUUGCUUGUUUGUGGAUUAGAAUUAGUAUCUUCUGCUGCUGAUCUGGUAUCACAACUUCUCUGCUCAUCAUUGUACUCUAUCAUUGUCUGAUGGUCGCGCCUGGUGGCUUCUGUGUUGUCACAGCUUCUCCGAGCAUCACUACUGGUAUCUUCUGGGAUGUUUCUGUUUAUAACAUCAGGUGUAUAUAUAAGAUGGAACCCACACUCUUUCACUUCGACUGGUGUACCGUCCAAGCUAUGAAAUGAAGCCUUCAAACGUCUCCAUUCGUUCGACCAAUACUGGUUGCCAAUAACAACCUUGGGAUAAUAAGUCACACACAUUUGACUUGAUUCACCGCAAAUUCGGCAGCAAUAAGACCGGACAUCAUCCACGUGACAGCAUUCAGAUUGAUCACCACAGAUAUUGAGUUCGCAAUUCAACCAACCACAAGCCAUAGGAAUAAAAACAGAGUAUAAAGCAAAUCCUAAGAAGCCAUCUUUUCUGUACAAAUCCGUAGAAAGCUCUAUUGUUAUUUGAGAUCCUUUUUUUGGCUGGCUUAUCCACUCUGGAAUUCCAUCAUUUCCCGAAAUAACAACUCUGAUUGCCUUGUUCCAAUAGGAGCCGCAUUCAAAUUCCUGCACAGAAGUACAGUGUUAAUACUCUGUUCAUAAGGAAAAAGGGCUGAAUGUUAUGAAAAUCAUACCUCAAUCAUUGAUUUGAAGCAUUUGAACAGAGAAAAACCAAGUUGACUUGAUGGACUUGAUAAAGUUUCCAAGCAUGUGCAACUGUGGACAUCUAGAACUCGUAAACUUGGUGGAAACUCUGGAACUUGUAGAAGCCCCUGGCAGUGACUCAAUUCAAGGACUCUCAGUUUAGAAAGUUGAAUGAUGCCUGCAAGUAUGCUACUAAAACAGUCCUUGCUUAGAUUUAGACCUGAAGCGUACAAACCCUCUAAACAUUGCAAACUCCUCAGGUUCUCGGGAAAUCUCUCAAGUUUUGUACAGAAACUGACAUUUAGAAUUUUGAGAGUUUUCAAAUUACAAAAGGCCUCUGGAAGACUCACAAGGUAUUGCGAGAUUCAAAUAUUGAAGCCCUCUUAGAUAUUGAAUUGAUGCUGGUAGUUCUUCGAUAGCAGUUCCAUCUAAAUGAAGCUCUCUUAUAUUUUCCACAUCCUCGAGGAUUUCCGGAAAGCUCCUUAAUCGUGAACAGCCUGAGCAGAAGAGAGUUGUAAGGGAUUUCAACUCACAUAUGCUACUGGGAAGAAGCUCAAGGUUUUUGCAUUCUCGCAAACAUAACCUAUUAAGUUUAUGGGGACACUCAACAGUGGGUAGUUCAUUGAUGGCAUUUCACUUUAAACAAAGCUUCCAUAGGGAUUGCACAUCCUCUUGACAUUCCCGGCAAACGGUGGAUAUCAUUGCUUUACCAUGGUUCUGUUCAUGAUCAUGGGCAUAUAUAAGAUGGAUCCCACACUCUUCUACUUUCACUGCUUUACCUCUCAAGUAGCCACAAAAUGAAGCCGUCAACUGCCUCCAUUUAUUUGAGUGGUACUUCUCCUCAAUCUCAUGCUUAGGAUAAUAAAUCAUCCACAUACAAGGUACAACAUAGACGUGAAAUGAGGGAUAAAACUGGAGUUUAUCCACAAACUGAAUUUCAUGACCACGCAAAGUUAAACCAUACUCGAAGUAAGUUGCACCAUUCUCCAGUGUCUCCUCAGAUUCAUUAUCCAGUGGAUAAUAGACACAGUACAAAACAAAACCCAACAAGUCGUCAUUUUUAUACCAAUUUUGAGGAAGCUUUGCUACUACUUCAGCUCCCUUUUUGUGAUGGCUUAUCCAAUCUGGAAUUCCACAACUUUCUGAAAUAAUAAGAUUUACUCGGGCAAAAGGUUUUUCUAAAGGAUAAAUCUUGCAUUCCAAAUCCUGCAGAAAAUUUAAUUAACACUUAAAUCCCCAUGUCUCCACAAAAAAAGUUUUGGUCUAUGAAUAUCAUACCUGAAUCAAUGAUUUGAAGCAGUUGAAUAGAGAAGACCAGAGUAGACCUGAAGAAGUUUCCAGCCGUUUGCACAAAUGUAUAUCUAAGACACGCAAACUGGAUGGAAGUGCUGGAAUUUGUCGAAGCUCUUGACAGUUACCCAAGACAAGGAGUCUCAGCCUAGAAAGUUGAUUGAUCCCAGCAGGUAUGCUCCUAAAAAGAUUCCCGAAUAGAAAUAAUUCUUGCAGAGAUGAUAGCUGGCAAAUUUCAGUGGGGAUUCCUCCUUCAUCUAUACCACACACACGUAGAUCUACAACUUCCAAGGAGUACAAGCAGCAAAUAUCACUCAGGACUACUCCUUGCAUUAGCUUUGAGUAAAUAAGAUCUAACUCCUUUAAGGAGCAUAAACCUGACAAAGAAAGCAAUUGGCAACAUCUUGAAUUUAAGCCCCUAGCACGGAGACACUUCAAGCUUUGCAGCCUCCCCAGGUUUUGUGGCAAUUUGUGGAGUUUUGAACAGUAAUUCACAUUGAGAUCUUCAAGAAAGCGUAAAUUACAAAUGCUUUCUGGAAGAGUCACAAGGUUUUUGCACCUCUCAAGAUUCAAAACUUGAAGCCUAUUCAAAUGUUCGAUUGAAGAUGGUAGCUCUUUUAUGGCCGUUCCGUUCAAGUGAAGCUGCCUUAAGUUUUCCAUAUUCUCCAAGAUUUCUGGGAAGUACUGUAAUUGUGAACAGUCAGAGCAAAAGAGAGAUUUUAGGGAUUUGAACUCCCAAAUGCUUGUUGGUAGACUCUCAAGGUUUUUGCACUCUCGCAAACAUAAGGUAUCAAAUUCAGAGGCACACUCAAUGGGUGGUAGGCUGAUUGUCUGACCCUUUAAACAAAGCUUUCGGUGUUCCACAUUCCUCUGACAUUCAGCGCAGCUAGCAUCCACAUCAUCAGUCUGUACUAUUGGAUCUUGGGCGUAUAUAGGUUCAAGCCCACACUUGAGCACCUUAAAAUGAUUGCGACAGCCCAUAAAUAUAGCCCCAAGAAACAUGGAUGGAUUGGUGUGACAGCUCUCCAGAAUAGCAGCCUUGGGAUAGAAUAUCACCCACAUUUGUUCUGAUCCACCUCCAUCAUGGUAGCAUUUACAAGUAGUGCGAAAACUGAGACGUUGCGCACACAGGGUAGAAAAUCCAUAUCUAUCAUGUAAUGACAAUUUACAUUCUAACCCAGUGGAGAUUGAAGAUUCAGCUUCAAGUAAAUCGUCAUAUUCAUUUAGGGCUUCGUCACCAGAUUCAUUCUCCGAUGUAUGUGCAAAAUCAUUUUCUGGUAUGUCCUCACAUUCAUCGUGUGGAGCAUAAACACAGCAUAUAGCAAUUCCCAAGAAGUCAUUAUUUUCGUAACAAUUCUGAGGAAGGUCCAUUGUGAUAUGAUUUCCCUCUCUCUGAUUCCUUAUCCACUUGGGAAUUCCACAGCUUCCCGGAACAACAAUACAGACUCCAUUGCCAAUGAAGUCAGAAUCACGGAGAAAUACUUCAUUUGAACUGCUCUUGUAUUUCAAAUCCUGUACAAAAGGACAAUGUAAAUCCUGUGGGUCUGUGCCAUUAUGUGAGUUUUUAUGAGAGAGUUUGUUAUCAGUUUUUGAUAAAUUGAUUCCCAGUUUUAACUUUCUUUGAUCUAUGCUCCUGAAUCUACUUAAUAUCCCUUUUAGAUGACGGAUUAUCAAUCAACAUGAAAGUGAGUGACAAGAUUAAGUGUGAAAACUGGAAGUGAGGGGAAACUGAAACUGAAAGUGAGUAGAAUAACCAGAUCUCUUCUUCACUUGCAGUAGCUUCUUCUCCAUUCAGAUACAGAGAUCUUAGAAUUGUAGCUUCAACUUAACUCUCAGAAUCUUAAAGACAAAGUUCGCUCAAGUUUCAAAAACUCACACAAAAAUUUCUCCUCAUGUUUCUCUUAAUCCUAUGAGGCGAGAGACAUGUAGCACACACUUAUUGGCUUUUUUACAUGCAAGUUUCAAGGUGGAGCGUCUAAUGAACUAAAACAUUCCCUCAAAUCCCAGUGGAAAUUCACACUAGAAAUUGCAGAAUUUGCUAAGGAAAAGUUUAAUUCAUUUAAUCCAUGAAUAAAAAAGUAUGUGAGAGCAUUUUAACAUCCUAAUACUUAUUAUAUUAAACUAUAAUUCUCAUUAUUUAAACUCAUGAUCCUUCACUUCAUCACCAAAUUUUGAAGACACUUUUGGCAUCUCUUCCAUGAAUUAAUUGAUGUUUAAGAAGGUAUAAUAAACUUUUAAUUGAAUUUAACAUUAUUUCUAUCCUAAUACUCAUCUUAAACUCUGUUUUUUUUUUUUUUAUACUCUUAUCAAAACAAAUAAAAACUUAACAAAAAAAUAAAGAUUUCAAUUACUCCGUGUUCAAAAGGGAAAAUGGCUAAAUGUCAUGAAAAUCAUACCUCAAUAGUUGAUUUAAAGCAUUUGAACAGAGAAACACCAAGUAGACAUGAUGGACUUGAUAAAACUUCCAAGCAUGUGCAACUGUGGACAUCUAGAACUCGUAAACUUGGUGGAAGCUCUGGAACUUGUAGAAGCCCCUGGCAGUGACUCAAUUCAAGGACUCUCAGUUUAGAAAGUUGAAUGAUGCCUGCAAGUAUGCUACUAAAACAGUCCUUGCUUAGAUUUAGACCUGAAGCGUACAAACCCUCUAAACAUUGCAAACUCCUCAGGUUCUCGGGAAAUCUCUCAAGUUUUGUACAGAAACUGACAUUUAGAAUUUUGAGCGUUUUCAACUUACAAAUGGCCUCUGGAAGACUCACAAGGUUGCUGCAAUCUGCAAGAUUCAAAUGUUGAAGCCCUCUUAGAUAUUGAAUUGAUGCUGGUAGUUCUUCUAUAGCAGUUCCAUCUAAAUGAAGCUCUCUUAUAUUUUCCACAUCCUCGAGGAUUUCCGGAAAGCUCCUUAAUCGUGAACAGCCUGAGCAGAAGAGAGUUGUAAGGGAUUUCAACUCACAUAUGCUACUGGGAAGAAGCUCAAGGUUUUUGCAUUCUCGCAAACAUAACCUAUUAAGUUUAUGGGGACACUCAAUAGUGGGUAGUUCAUUGAUGGCAUUUCCCUUUAAACAAAGCUUCCAUAGGGAUUGCACAUCCUCUUGACAUUCCCGGCAAACGGUGGAUAUCAUUGCUUUACCAUGGUUCUGUUCAUGAUCAUGGGCAUAUAUAAGAUGGAUCCCACACUCUUCUACUUUCACUGCUUUACCUCUCAAGUAGCCACAAAAUGAAGCCGUCAACUGCCUCCAUUUAUUUGAGUGGUACUUCUCCCCAAUCUCAUACUUAGGAUAAUAAAUCAUCCACAUAUAAGGUACAACAUUGCCGUAAAAUGAGGGAUAAAACUGGAGUUUAUCCACAAACUGAAUUUCAUGACCACGCAAAGUCAAACCAUACUCGAAGUAAGUUGCAUCAUUCUCCAGUGUCUCCUCAGAUUCAUUAUCAAGUGGAUAAUAGACAGAGUACAAAACAAAACCCAACAAGUCGUCAUUUUUAUACCAAUUUUGAGGAAGCUUUGCUACUACUUCAGCUCCCUUUUUGUGAUGGCUUAUCCAAUUUGGAAUUCCACAACUUUCUGAAAUAAUAAGAUUUACUCGGGCAAAAGGUUUUUCUAAAGGAUAAAUCUUGCAUUCCAAAUCCUGCAGAAAAUUUAAUUAACACGUAAAUCCCCAUGUCUCCACAAAAAAAGUUUUGGUCUAUGAAUAUCAUACCUGAAUCAAUGAUUUGAAGCAGUUGAAUAGAGAAGACCAGAGUAGACCUGAAGAAGUUUCCAGCCGUUUGCACGAUUGUACAUCUAAGACACGCAAACUGGAUGGAAGCACUGGAAUUUGUCGAAGCUCUUGACAGUUACUCAAGACAAGGAGUCUCAGCCUAGAAAGUUGAUUGAUCCCAGCAGGUAUGCUCCUAAAAAGAUUCCCGAUUAGAAGUAAUUCUUGCAGAGAUGAUAGCUGGCAAAUUUCAGUGGGGAUUCCUCCUUCAUCUAUACCGCAGAAAGAUAGAUCUAACACUUCCACGGAGUACAAGCAGCAAAUAUCACUCAGGACUACUCCUUGCAUUAGCUUUGAGUAAAUAAGAUCCAACUCCUUUAAGGAGCAUAAACCUGACAAAGAAAGCAAUUGGCAACAUCUUGAAUUUAAGCCCCUAGCACGGAGACGCUUCAAGCUUUGCAGCCUCCCCAGGUUUUGUGGCAAUUUGUGGAGUUUUGAACAGAAAUUGACAUUGAGAUCCUCAAGAAAGCGUAAAUUACAAAUGCUUUCUGGAAGAGUCACAAGGUUUUUGCACCUCCCCAGAUUCAAAACUUGAAGCCUAUUCAAACGUUCGAUUGAAGAUGGUAGCUCUUUUAUAGCCGUUCCAUUCAAGUGAAGCUGCCUUAAGUUUUCCAUAGUCUCCAAGAUUUCUGGGAAGUACUGUAAUUGUGAACAGUCAGAGCAAAAGAGAGAUUUUAGGGAUUUGAACUCCCAAAUGAUUGUUGGUAGACUCUCAAGGUUUUUGCACUCUCGCAAACAUAAGGUAUCAAAUUCAGAGGCACGCUCAAUGGGUGGUAGGCUGAUUGUCUGACACUUUAAACAAAGCUUUCGGUGUUCCACAUUCCUCUGACAUUCAGCGCAGCUAGCUUCCACAUCCUCAGUCUGUACUAUUGGAUCUUGGGCGUAUAUAGGUUCAAGCCCACACUUGAGCACCUUAAAAUGAUUGCGACAGCCCAUAAAUAUAGCCCCAAGAAAAAUGGAUGGAUUGGUGUGACAGCUCUCCAGAAUAGCAGCCUUGGGAUAGAAUAUCACCCACAUUUGUUCUGAUC
rnacentral:lncRNA from 1 species